CAUUACUCUGGAGAGUCUCUGUGGGGUGGAGCCCACAAAGCGCCGAAGGUGUACGGCAGUCUGCAUGACUGUUAAUCUCUCAGGCAAAAGGACAGAGCA
rnacentral:ncRNA from 1 species